GGCCUUUUCAUUGCGCGGCAACGCCCCUAUAUGCCGAAUUGCCGGUUUCGACCGGCUAUGGCGAUAAAGGGUGUCGUAGACUAGAUGCAGCGGACCCGGGGGCAGUACCCGGCGGCUCCACCAUAAACCCCGGCGACGGGGCUUCUGACGGGGCCGAACCAGGAUCGACGUGUAUUGAAAGGCGAUGUCUUUCGCUCGGAAUGGGACCACCGUGACGGCCCAUACACAAGUGCCAACGAUAACGAAGCACUCGCUAUUGCGGCGUAACCCCAAGGCUUAACGGCCUAAGGUUAUUCUAAAAUGCGCGGUUGGCCCGCACCGGGCAACAGAAGCGGAGUCCAGCGGUACGGGGAGCACCGGGCAACAGAAGCUCCCCACU
rnacentral:tmRNA from 1 species